GGGCCGGUAGCUCAGCCUGGGAGAGCUUCUAGGCCCCAUAAGCGUCCGCCUUGCACGCGGGAGGUCGCGGGUUCAAAUCCCGCCCGGUCCA
rnacentral:tRNA from 1 species